rnacentral:rRNA from 1 species
UACGAAGGGGGCUAGCGUUGCUCGGAAUCACUGGGCGUAAAGCGCACGUAGUCGGAUCUUUAAGUCAGGGGUGAAAUCCUGGAGCUCAACUCCAGAACUGCCUUUGAUACUGGGGAUCUCGAGUCCGGAAGAGGUGAGUGGAACUCCGAGUGUAGAGGUGAAAUUCGUAGAUAUUCGGAAGAACACCAGUGGCGAAGGCGGCUCACUGGUCCGGUACUGACGCUGAGGUGCGAAAGCGUGGGGAGCAAACAGG